UGUUCUGUCUCUCUCACACACACGAUAUACACUAUUCUGUCUCAAACACUUUUUGCUCUCACCAAACCUCACCCCCUCUUACCACCGACGCUUGCCACCAGCGCACAUCGCCACCUGCAAAUCACCAGCGUCACUUACUCACAGGUAGUGCUGAGGUGUGUUGGAGGCUGCUCUAUUUCGUGAGAGCUUGAAGGACAUCAAGAGGGCCAGGCUACCAAUAUGCGCUAGCCCUUUUAGAUGUUCUCAAAUAGGAUUGUUGGUGUCUUUAUUAUAUUGAAUUUGUACAAAUCCGUGUUUGCUAUCUGUCUGCUGCAAUGCAAUAUCUUGCUGCUCUGCUGAUCUGUCUAUUGAUAUUUUGUACCAUGCCAACAUUUGGCAUAGUAGUAAAUAUAUUUGUGUACACAGAGGAUGAAAUUUCCCUAUGAUCAUUUAUGUUAUGCAUGGAAUUAUUAUUUUAAAUUGGAAUGUAUUUGAUUUGUAUGGAAUUAUUGACAUUUGAAGGUAUUAAUUUUUAGAUGGUUAGAAGUGAAA